AACGAACGCUGGCGGCAUGCCUAACACAUGCAAGUCGAACGAGACCUUCGGGUCUAGUGGCUCACGGGUGCGUAACGCGUGGGAACCUGCCCUUAGGUUCGGAAUAACUCCCCGAAAGGGGUGCUAAUACCGGAUAAUGUCUUCGGACCAAAGAUUUGUCGCCUUUGGAUGGGCCCGCGUUGGAUUAGCUAGUUGGUAGGGUAAAAGCCUACCAAGGCGACGAUCCAUAGCUGGUCUGAGAGGAUGAUCAGCCACACUGGGACUGAGACACGGCCCAGACUCCUACGGGAGGCAGCAGUGGGGAAUAUUGGACAAUGGGCGAAAGCCUGAUCCAGCAAUGCCGCGUGAGUGAUGAAGGCCUUAGGGUUGUAAAGCUCUUUUACCCGGGAUGAUAAUGACAGUACCGGGAGAAUAAGCUCCGGCUAACUCCGUG
rnacentral:rRNA from 1 species